rnacentral:rRNA from 1 species
GCUAAACGCGAAGAACCUUACCUACUCUUGACAUCCAGAGAACUUAGCAGAGAUGCUUUGGUGCCUUCGGGAACUCUGAGACAGGUGCUGCAUGGCUGUCGUCAGCUCGUGUUGUGAAAUGUUGGGUUAAGUCCCGCAACGAGCGCAACCCUUAUCCUUUGUUGCCAGCGAUUCGGUCGGGAACUCAAAGGAGACUGCCAGUGAUAAACUGGAGGAAGGUGGGGAUGACGUCAAGUCAUCAUGGCCCUUACGAGUAGGGCUACACACGUGCUACAAUGGCAUAUACAAAGAGAAGCGACCUCGCGAGAGCAAGCGGACCUCAUAAAGUAUGUCGUAGUCCGGAUUGGAGUCUGCAACUCGACUCCAUGAAGUCGGAAUCGCUAGUAAUCGUGGAUCAGAAUGCCACGGUGAAUACGUUCCCGGGUCUUGUACACACCG